AUUGAACGCUGGCGGCAGGCCUAACACAUGCAAGUCGAACGAGUGGCGGACGGGUGAGUAAUGUCUGGGUAACUGCCCGAUGGAGGGGGAUAACUACUGGAAACGGUAGCUAAUACCGCAUACCAUCGGAUGUGCCCAGCUGGGAUUCGCUAGUCGGUGGGGUAACUGCUCACCUAGGCGACGAUCCCCAGCUGGUCUGAGCGGAUGACCAGCCACACUGGAACUGAGAAACGGUCCAGACUCCUACGGGAGGCAGAAGGGGGGAAUAUUGCAAAAGGGGGGCAAGCCGGAUACAGCCAUGCCGCGUGUAUGAAGAAGGCCUGCGGGUUGGAAAGUACUUUCAGCGAGGAGGCGUUACUCGCAGAAGAAGCACCGGCUAACUCCGUGCCAGCAGCCGCGGUAAUUC
rnacentral:rRNA from 1 species